rnacentral:rRNA from 1 species
UGGGGAAUUUUGGACAAUGGGGGAAACCCUGAUCCAGCCAUCCCGCGUGUGCGAUGAAGGCCUUCGGGUUGUAAAGCACUUUUGGCAGGCAAGAAACGUCAUGGGUUAAUACCCCGUGAAACUGACGUUACCUGCAGAAUAAGCACCGGCUAACUACGUGCCAGCAGCCGCGGUAAUACGUAGGGUGCAAGCGUUAAUCGGAAUUACUGGGCGUAAUGCGUGCGCAGGCGGUUCUGCAAGAAAGAUGUGAAAUCCCAGAGCUCAACUUUGGAGCUGCAUUUUUAACUACCGGGCUAGAGUGUGUCAGAGGGAGGUGGAAUUCCGCGUGUAGCAGUGCAAUGCGUAGAUAUGCGGAGGAACACCGAUGGCGAAGGCAGCCUCCUGGGAUAACACUGACGCUCAUGCACGAAAGCGUGGGGAGCAAACAGG